AAAGGUAAUGUCCAAACAGAUACAAAGGCUACAAGGGGCAAACAAAUCAAUGGCUACGUGAGGAAUGGAAAAACAAAGGAUAUGAGAAGGAAGAGAGUCUGCUUAUAGAGGAGGACAAGAAUCUGGAUGAACUUUAAAAUGAAGUAACAUAGACCAGGCUGAGCUAGCCAAUCAAUUGUGUAAAUAUGUAAUACCAGGCAAUGGCAGGCAUGAAGUGAAGAAAGACAUGAUGGAGGUGGUGAAGAAGGCUACUAAACCUAUCAACUCAUUCAGUUAUACAGAAUUAUGUUACAUUACAUUCAACAAAGAUGUUUAGCAAGCUCAUAUGAAGCCUGCCCAUCAAGAGUUACACUGUUGAGCUAGCAGUAAUGUAAUGCAGAUUUCAUGAAUUCUCACUUUGAGGAGUAAUACCUAGGUUUGGCCAUUUUUGUGACUUAAAAUUAUUCCCUGCCACAUCUUAUCACAAAGUAACUUAUAAGAAGAAACUGUUGGCAUCUACAGCAAUUUAUUGAAGAUAUUGAGAAACUACAUGUCAAGACAAACAUUUUAGUACAUUACAUGACAAGUUUUGUCCAAACA